AUUGAACGUUGGCGGCAGGCCUAAUACAUGCAAGUCGAACGGCAGCACAGAGAGCUUGCUCUUGGGUGGCGAGUGGCGGACGGGUGAGUAACGCGUAGGAAUCUACCCAGUAGCGGGGGAUAGCCCGGGGAAACCCGGAUUAAUACCGCAUACGCCCCACGGGGGAAAGGCCGGGAUCUUCGGACCGGUCACUAUUGGAGGAGCCUGCGUUGGAUUAGCUUGUUGGUGGGGUAAAGGCCUACCAAGGCUGCGAUCCAUAGCUGGUCUGAGAGGACGAUCAGCCACACUGGAACUGAGACACGGCCCAGACUCCUACGGGAGGCAGCAGUGGGGAAUAUUGGACAAUGGGCGAAAGCCUGAUCCAGCCAUGCCGCGUGAGUGAUGAAGGCCUUAGGGUUGUAAAGCUCUUUCAGUGGGGAAGAUAAUGACGGUACCCACAGAAGAAGCCCCGGCUAACUUCGUG
rnacentral:rRNA from 1 species